UCCGUAAGGUGAACCUGCGGAAGGAUCAUUAUUGAAAUAAAGCUUGGUAUAUAGACUGUUGCUGGCUCUUAGGAGCAUGUGCACGUCUAUUCCAACUUUUAAUCAACUUCCACCUGUGCACUUUGUGUAGAUCUGAAUUGCAUUUCUUUCGAGUUAUAAACAGCUCGGUUUGAAGAAUUGCGUUCAAGCUUUUCUCUGUUAAUUCAGAUCUAUGUUUUAUCAUAACCCCACACGAAGUAACAGAAUGAUAUACAAAAUAAAAUACAAUACAACUUUCAACAACGGAUCUCUUGGCUCUCGCAUCGAUGAAGAACGCAGCGAAAUGCGAUAAGUAAUGUGAAUUGCAGAAUUCAGUGAAUCAUCGAAUCUUUGAACGCACCUUGCGCUCCUUGGUAUUCCGAGGAGCAUGCUUGUUUGAGUGUCAUGAAAUUCUCAACCUAAUCAGGUUUUGUAAUAAAGCUUGGUUCAGGCUUGGAUUAUGGGAGGUUGCUGGCUUUCCUAUAGUUCAGCUCUUCUAAAAUGUAUUGUGGAGAUCUCAUCAUUGAAUCACAUUGAUAUGAUAAUUAUCUAUAUCAUUGCUGGUCAAUAUUGUCUAAGCUCCUAUUAAACAGUCCUGUGUCGUUAGGACACAUUUCAUUUGAAACAUUGACCUCAAAUCAAGUAGG
rnacentral:rRNA from 1 species